rnacentral:tRNA from 1 species
GCCGCCUUGGCCGAGUGGCAAGGCUCCGGAUUGCAACCCCGGCAUCUCCCGUUCGAUCCGGGAAGGCGGCUCCA